ACAGAGAUAGCUUGCUAUCUGCUGACGAGCGGCGGACGGGUGAGUAAUGCUUGGGAAUAUGCCUUAUGGUGGGGGACAACAGUUGGAAACGACUGCUAAUACCGCAUAACGUCUACGGACCAAAGGGGGGGAUGCUUCGGCACCUCCCGCCAUUUGAUUAGCCCAAGUGAGAUUAGCUAGUAGGUGAGGUAAGAGCUCACCUAGGCGACGAUCUCUAGCUGGUUUGAGAGGAUGAUCAGCCACACUGGGACUGAGACACGGCCCAGACUCCUACGGGAGGCAGCAGUGGGGAAUAUUGCACAAUGGGCGAAAGCCUGAUGCAGCCAUGCCGCGUGUGUGAAGAAGGCCUUCGGGUUGUAAAGCACUUUCAGCGAGGAGGAAAGGUUAGUGGUUAAUAGCCACUAGCUGUGACGUUACUCGCAGAAGAAGCACCGGCUAACUUCGUGCCAGCAGCCGCGGUAAUACGAGGGGUGCAAGCGUUAAUCGGAAUUACUGGGCGUAAAGCGUGCGUAGGUGGUUUGUUAAGCAAGAUGUGAAAGCCCUGGGCUCAACCUGGGAACUGCAUUUUGAACUGGCAAGCUAGAGUUUUGUAGAGGGUAGUGGAAUUUCCAGUGUAGCGGUGAAAUGCGUA
rnacentral:rRNA from 1 species